rnacentral:rRNA from 1 species
ACGGGUGAGUAAUACAUCGGAACGUAUCCUGGAGUGGGGGAUAGCCCGGCGAAAGCCGGAUUAAUACCGCAUACGCUCUGAGGAGGAAAGCGGGGGACCUUCGGGCCUCGCGCUCAAGGGGCGGCCGAUGGCGGAUUAGGUAGUUGGUGGGGUAAAGGCCUACCAAGCCGACGAUCCGUAGCUGGUCUGAGAGGACGACCAGCCACACUGGGACUGAGACACGGCCCAGACUCCUACGGGAGGCAGCAGUGGGGAAUUUUGGACAAUGGGGGCAACCCUGAUCCAGCAAUGCCGCGUGUGUGAAGAAGGCCUUCGGGUUGUAAAGCACUUUUGUCCGGAAAGAAAUCAUCGGGGCCAAUACCCCUGGUGGAUGACGGUACCGGAAGAACAAGCACCGGCUAACUACGUACCAGCAGCCGCGGUAAUACGUAGGGUGCGAGCGUUAAUCGGAAUUACUGGGCGUAAAGCGUGCGCAGGCGGUGCUGUAAGACCGAUGUGAAAUCCCCGGGCUUAACCUGGGAACUGCAUUGGUGACUGCAGCGCUGGAGUAUGGCAGAGGGGGGUGGAAUUCCACGU